rnacentral:rRNA from 1 species
UACGUAGGGUGCAAGCGUUAAUCGGAAUUACUGGGCGUAAAGCGUGCGCAGGCGGUUUUGUAAGUCUGUUGUGAAAUCCCCGGGCUCAACCUGGGAAUUGCGAUGGAGACUGCAAGGCUAGAAUCUGGCAGAGGGGGGUAGAAUUCCACGUGUAGCAGUGAAAUGCGUAGAGAUGUGGAGGAACACCGAUGGCGAAGGCAGCCCCCUCGGGUCGA